GCAGCUUCUUCGCCCCUUCGCUCCACAGCUCCUCCCCUCAGCUUCUCCAUGUUGAUGGCUUGUUGCUGGAAAAUGGAAAUUGAUAAUCUUAUUGUUCUUGUUGCUGGAAUUGAUAAUCUUGUUGUUGAGUUAAGUUGUUGCUAGAAAGUGGAAAUUCCGAAAUUGAUAAUCUUCUUCACUUCUUGUAAUCUUGUUCUUGUUGGUGG
rnacentral:lncRNA from 1 species